CCUGAAAACACAGAAUUAAACUAUGAUGAAAUUCAAAUACAUCAAAAUAUUACAGUAGGAACAAUGCAGCUUCACUCCAACUUUGUUUUCUAUACUAUCUUUUGGGUAUCAAAUCAUUUCCAGGUUCUGCAGAAUAGAAAAUCAUAUGGAUUCUUAAUUACGAUAACAAACUCAGUAGAAAUGAGAUGACUUAUUAAUCAAAUUAGCUGAGUUACACAAACAUGAAAUAAAUAAUUGUUUAUAGAUAAUGGAUUGAUGUGACUUGAUAUUUAUACUGAAGCAGCCAACAUUAUGUACUAACGCAUUUCAAUAUCAGCCCACCCCUGAACCUAUUGCAACCACAUUCGUCUCAUUUUGUUUAGAGAACCAAGAAUUUCAACAUCAUUGUUCUCUUUAAACCUGAGACUUUCUUUGGAAGCACUGUUUCACUUUUUACUCUUACAAUUACUAGGAUCUUGUUUUCUAAACAAACUCUUUUCUCCUUAAUUCGAUGACACAGUUCUGCGUGUUUGAUUGAGUUAAAUCUGUUCUUAAAAUUUUGCAUGAAUAUAGUAGAUUUGUAUUGAAUUUUGCCCCACCUGUCUAUGAUUUGUUUUUAAUAAUUUUUAGAAACUUUACAUAUAAGUAAAUUUGCAUUAUUUUUAAAAGCUAACACAUUUGCACCUGAAUUGCACCCCUACAGCGCAGACAUCUUUAUCAGCUCAGCAUGCUCCUACAAUGCUUCCUAAAUCUUCUAAGGACACACGCACCAACAAGCAAGCACUACAGAGCUACAAGGAUGAAGCUCACCUCUGGCAGUUCAGUGGAGCAAAAGGGCUUGCUGCCUUGGAAAACAGGGCGCUCGCUCGGGCUUAGUUAGAUGGGGUGCUUUGUGGUCAGGUCCUACACUGUGUUUUUUCUGUAAUAUUGUUCCUAUAUAUGAGACCACAACAGCCCUCACUCUGGUCCAAGGUGUGGUGCUGAGAUUUGUAAUUGGACCAUUCUUUUUCCUCUCUUAAUACAAAGAUGCGCAGCUCUCCUGCGUGUUCGAGAAAAAAAAAAGAAAUUUGGGGACUUGGAACAAAUAGAAAGCUUUUAUUUUUUAUUUUAAUUUAUUUCUACUGGUGACUAUCUAUCACCAAUCCUCUUUUAACCAAACUUCUGAUUAGUCAGUCAAAAUUCUCUGCAGCUACAGAGCUCGCUAAUUCUAUUUCUUGGUUGUGCUCAAUGCAUAAAAAAGCAACAAAGAUUUAAGCAAUAUCCUCAACCUUAAUCUGUAGUAGUUUUUACACUAUACACUAUCACACCAAUUUAUUACACGUAUAGCAACUAUUUAUAGCACCUGCAACAACAGGAAGACAACAAACAGAGAGCAACCUCUGUAUUUUCAUAAUAAAACGUACAGUGCAAGAUUGCUCAUGAAGAUGACAGUCACGAAGGCACAGAAAUGAUGCCCCAUAUAAAGCGUCCCAGACUAGUACAUCCAGCUAGGAUAGCAUUACAUAUGCUCCUACCUCCCAUACUAGUGCAAGACUCAUGUGUUCAUAAAUUGCAUAGCUUCACAGACUAGCACCAUCUCAACGAUAAUAAAACAGAGGCACCACCUAAGUUUGAAAAUGCCACAGUGCCACACACAACUGUCAGUAUAGAUGACAAUCACAAAGGCACAGUAAAAAGACCACUCACAUCAUCAUAUGCAGGUUCUGGGUCUGGAAGCUUCAAGUAGCAUGGAACAUAGUAUAUAUACCUGUGAGAGCUAUCUUUAAUCUCAUUAAGUUCCCCAGUAGUGAUUCCGUAUGAAAGAAGUUUGUUUGUGUUUUCAUCCACAAGGAAAAUGGCCUCCCUCUCCAGGUCAAAAGCAAUAAUUUCAUAAUCACAAGUCCAAAUCCAACCAUCCUCAUAGUGAACAAAGUCAUCCCUUCCAAAUGCAUCUCUCAUUCUAAGACGAUGUGUUACAGUCCACAUACCAGGAUCAAAAUAAUCGUGACUCCAAAUUAGAAUUGUGCAACCAUCCUUCUCUGCCACUGCGUAGUGUAAGGUCCCUGCAUAUUGACCAAGGCAACCUCUGAAGCAACGAUCCACGAAACAGUCACCCCUGUGGAAUGGCAACUUAAUGGUCCAAUUACGGGGUGGUAUGCCCAUGCUUGCUAUCUCUAAUUUAUCCAAUACCAAAACAUCACAAUCUGUAUGCACAUGCAAGAAUCCAUCAAUGAACACGUGUGGUCUUCCACAAACCGAGAUAUCAUUAUUCUCAGGAUCCCUCAAAUCAGAAUUGACAAGCCAUGUAGAU